rnacentral:rRNA from 1 species
UACGAAGGUGGCAAGCGUUGUUCGGAUUUACUGGGCGUACAGGGAGCGUAGGCGGUUGGGUAAGCCCUCCGUGAAAUCUCCAGGCUUAACCUGGAAAGUGCAGAGGGGACUGCUCAGCUAGAGGAUGGGAGAGGAGCGCGGAAUUCCCGGUGUAGCGGUGAAAUGCGUAGAGAUCGGGAGGAAGGCCGGUGGCGAAGGCGGCGCUCUGGAACAUUUCUGACGCUGAGGCUCGAAAGCGUGGGGAGCAAACAGG